UCCCCUAGUAACGGCGAGUGAAGCGGGAAGAGCUCAAAUUUAAAAUCUGGCGCAAGCCCGAGUUGUAUUCUAGAGAGGUGUUUUCUGUGCCGGACCGUGUACAAGUCCCUUGGAACAGGGCGUCAUAGAGGGUGAGAAUCCCGUCCAUGACACGGACUACCGGUGCUCUGUGAUGCGCCUUCAAAGAGUCGAGUUGUUUGGGAAUGCAGCUCAAAAUGGGUGGUAAAUUCCAUCUAAAGCUAAAUACAGGCGAGAGACCGAUAGCGAACAAGUACCGUGAGGGAAAGAUGAAAAGCACUUUGGAAAGAGAGUUAAACAGUACGUGAAAUUGUUGAAAGGGAAACGCUUGGAGUCAGUCGCGUNGUCUGAGACUCAGCCUUGCUUUUGCUUGGUGCAUUUCUCAGUUGAUGGGCCAGCAUCGAUUUUGGUCGCUGGAUAAAGGCCUUGGGAAGGUGGCACCUUCGGGUGUGUUAUAGCCCUUGGUUGUAUACAGUGGCUGGGAUCGAGGACCGCAGCAUGAACCGGGGUUUACUCACGCUACAUGCUUAGGAUGCUGGCGUAAUGGCUUUAAGCGACCCGUCUUGAAACACGGACCAAGGAGUCUAACAUGCCUGCGAGUGUUUGAGUGGAAAACUCAUGCGCGGAAUGAAAGUGAAAGGUUGGGACUCUGUAACAGGAGGCACCGACGCCCGAUCCUGACGUUCUCUGACGGAUUUGAGGUAGAGCAUGUAUGUUGGGACCCGAAAGAUGGUGAACUAUGCCUGAAUAGGGCG
rnacentral:rRNA from 2 species